rnacentral:lncRNA from 1 species
UCCUUCCAUAAUCUCAUAACCAUUCAUUCUUCCUCCAUCAUGAUAUAAACCUCUACAAUUUCACGAUGUCAAAGCAGGAAUCGACAACUCAUAAUGACCAAACAACUCGUACACCUUAAAAAAUAUAGCUUUACUACUUAGUCCUAUAAUAUAUGGACUGCACAAAUAGAAUAAACUUUGUAUGUUCACCCCAAAUAAGCAGAAAGCAAAAACAAAAACCAGUUAAAACAGUCUUAGUAGUGUACUCAUGUGGGAGUUCCUUAUUGCCACUUAAAAAAGCUCAAUUAACAUAGUUACAUUCAACCAAAAAACAAAAUAUAUAUAAACCAAUCUAGGUUUCGUGAAGGAAGUGAGAAGCUAAAAUAUAACAGAAUUUUGUUGUUUCAUCUCUCAUAAAGGUAGAAAAUGUCCAGCCCUCAUAAGAAAUUGCCUAUGAGAUCGCAUUCCAUUGGUUUUUUAAGACCCUUGCACUAAGCUCUUCAAGUCUGGCCGUCUUGAGUUACAGUAGCAAGAACAUUGGCAACAACAGUUGUACAGAAUUAAUAUCUCUCUUUCGCUGCAAAAACUUAAUCUUAAAUAAUUAUUUCCUCCUCUUCAACAGUAGAAAAUUUAUUUGGAUAGCUCUGCGCUUAAAGCCUCAAACAGGAGAGUUGGAAAUUCCCAUUGCUUGAUGGCUGCAUUAUUUUCUGUCAGGUACGCUAAAGAGGCAGUCAAGUAUUUAUGGGAUAACAAUGGUGAUGAAUUGUGCAGGUGCUCGAGGCAUUUGUCAUGUUAUUGCUCUCCUCAUUUGCAUUUUUCAGCUGAAGUAUUCAGCUUCCCUUACUGCAAGACUCAAGAAUUAGGAAUCUUUUCUAUCAUAAUGGAGCACAAAGGGAAAGGAGAGCUGGUUUAAAUGCAGUAGUCAUUGUAGAGGUAGAAAAAUAUUCACAAAGUGUUCAAGACUAUAUGAGUUGUAAUUGCACAAAAUAAAAAUAAAUAGAUGUAUUUUUAUGUUAAUUCGCUAAAAGCAUUGAUCAGUUUUUUGCUUUCACUCUAUACUUGUCUUUUGAAUCUAAGUCCAUAACAAUUGUCUGAAAAAAGGCAAAAACAUUAAUAUUUCAGUCACAUAUAGGAGUUAUUUUUUAAUCAUAUUUCCACAAGAAACAUCCAGCAUAAACAAUAGGUAUUCAGUAAUCGACGAAUAGUUGUUUGUAAUAUGGCAAGCAAAAUAUACGCAGUAAAAAGAGCAGAUAAAGUAAAUUCCAAUGAUGGCUCAUCAAGCAUGAACCAUUCCUUUAGAAACAAUGAUUCUUCAAGUUAAUAAGCUCAAGCAUUUAGAGUACGGUAGUCAAACAUCUUAUGAGGCUAAUGUGAAAUAAUGGCUACUUUUCCAAUUACAUGCAUAAACAAAUUAUCAAUAUGGGACCAAGAACACAUUCCACAAACAUCAUAUGCCAAAUAAAGGUAGUUAUGGAUGCUAAUUCAGGAUUCAAAAAUAGUGACAUAAGAAAGUCAUGGGUGCUAAUUCAAGGUUCAUUUCAGAACGAACAUAUAAAAUUAUAUUGGUAUCCCUUAUAUUAAAAAUGAAUGUCAGCCAAAUGCAGACUGUAAACUUUAAAAAUCCAAAGAGAUAAGGAUCUUACUUCAUCAUAAGAUGUGUCUAACUAAUAUAUGCCAUAAUCAACAUUCCUUUCCCAUAUGAGCAAAAUUAUAAUCUUUCAUUUGCACUAUGGCUCCCGGCUCCUUGAGUUUCAACCUUUAUUUUCACUGCUAAUUUCACAGUAAUAUCAAAGAAUUCAACAACAUUCACAAAAAAUUCCUCAAUAAGUCAUAUUACAUGGAAGUUAAAAGAUCACAUAGAAAAUAAAUCCUCUGGAAGCAGGAAUUCCUGACAUACGAUAAUUUUUUUCAGUUUGUUUGAAAGAAUUCUAAAUUAAAAAGAUAUCACAUGAGAAAUUUUCUACUCAUUCUUACAGUUAUAUCUAAUUUGCAGUCAUACUGCAAUAGAAAUACACAUGCAAGCAAAUGGAAUACAAUUUUCAAAGAACAUCAAAUAAAAUUAAAUCUAGAAACACUUUACACUUAGCUGGUAACUCCUUGUAGACAGUAAAGUAAGAAAUAUUGAGACAAAAGCAUAGGAUCCAUUAAAUAGAGCGAAGUCUGUAACUGAGCUUCAUUAGCCAUUAUUGGUACUAUCAACCGAUUAAUUUUUGGAGCUAAUUUCUCUUCACGCCAUAGACGCCCUCAUUUUGCUGGGAGAUUUCAUCAGACACAGGUGGCAUCAAAGUUCUUCCCUUUGUCAUUACUAUUUUUGUUCUAGAUAGCAAUUUUCAAGAAAGAGCUGAGAAGAACUACGCAGAACUCAGAAUCCACAUAUGCUAAUUAAUGGCAAAGCUGGAGAAAUUUUGAUAUAAAUGCAGAACCAAAAGGCAAUAUAGAGAAUGAGUGACAAAAAGAAAAAAAAUAGCUUUGUCAUUGAAAAGUCUGAACACGAAGAACACCAAAACUAAGACAUCUAGUGGAUUAAGCUCCACGCCCACAGAUUUCUCUCUCUUUGAAACUCUAGAAGAAGAGAGCAAUUCAAUUGACACGAAUUGUGUCUAUAGAAAAAGUCUUGACUACCAAUAAAAUGGACCAGCGCUUACAGUACAUUGUACAUUGCCUUUUGCACAAUCAGUUAGUUCAGUGUUCGUCCCACUCAAUUGCUGCUUCUAAUAUAGCUGUAGGAAUCUUGAAGUAGUAAUUACAUUUGAGAUUAAGUGUAUUUAUCUACUAUUCCAAAUUAUGCGCUCAGGUAUCAAUUUUCGAAACAUGCAUGAGUAAAUAAAUCAAAAUAAGGACCCAAGAAUGUGAAAUAAAGAACGAAAAUGUAAAAGCCUGAUUUCCAGAGAUUGAAGUCUUAGCUUGCAAAAAUCACAAUAUGCAAAGCCCAAAAUUUAAUAAUCAGACCACAUCACAUGCCAUAUCAUGGAAAAAUUAGAUCAUAUCAGAGAAAAAUUAAAAAGAUCUGAUAUUGAAAGAGUAAAGUAGAAAAGGGAAUUUUUCCAACAAAAAAGAAAAUUGAGAAACUCACCGGAGAAUUGAGAAUUCUUAAAUGCAAUGACAAAGUUGUUUAACCUAGGCAUUAGAAAUAGAUUCAUGAUUAAAAUAAAGUAUACUUAUUCUUCUUGCUUAUUUAUUUUACAGAAGCGUGUGUCAUUUGCUACCCAGUGUUGCCAUAUAUCUUGACUUAUUAGAAUUAUAUAAAGUAAAAUUAAUUUAUACUUAAAAAACUUUGGGAUUUGUGCGUAGGUUUCGCGCCAAAAUGUACUGUUAGAAUAUGUGUGCUGCCAUGGG